rnacentral:tRNA from 1 species
GGCUGGGGCUCAGCGGUAGAGCGCUCGCCUAGCACGUGUGAGGCCCGGGGUUUGAUCCUCAGCACCA